rnacentral:lncRNA from 1 species
AUUUAAAUGGCCAGCUUGGGCAUUUCUGUGCCAAGCCCUUCGGAGGCUGGGGAUCACUUCCACUCCAAGAAGGAAAGCAACUCACUCACGUGAGGAACGGAAUCCUCAAACAGCUCGGAGCCCCGGUGACGCACUCCCAGCUUGGAAAAUGGCCCAGGUCCACCUCGCUAACAGCAGCUAGGUGGGGAGAUGCUCGCGUGCACUAUUGUUUCCAGAUGUUUAUUUUUAACUUCUGUUUGAUGCCGGUUCCCCGAAGCUGGGCCCGGUGGGGAGGGAAGCCUCUGGCAACGCCACUAGUGGCUCUGGGAGCAAUCGAGUUUCAAUAAUAAAAACACCCCUUUAUCCUUUUA